GGAGACGUAGUUCCUGCUUCUCUACGUUGUCCCUGAACGGAGCCGGGAGCUGAGUGUGGCUUUGAUGUUUAGAAACAGCCUAGUUAAAAACCGCAAGCUAAGUUGCUGUGGACUCCGGUCGCCCAGGCUGGGCAGAGCCAAGAGGAAGGACAACGUGCCAGGCCUGGCCGUCACUCCCGCUACGCGCCCGCGGUGUGGACGCCGUGUUAUGAGGCCUGUGAAGGAUAAACCACCGACGACCCCUGGAGAAAAGUCAGAUGCCGUGAAUCCUAAGAGCUGGGUCAGCCCCUACAUUUUACUGAACUCAGCAAAUAAACAGCACUGUGCCUAUGGGACAAAUCUUGAUAAAUUUCCUCAGCAAUUUUGAAAGAUUUAUCAACCCUAAACCGGGGGAGAGGCGGGGAUGAAAACCGAAGAACAAGGUCUCUGACAGACAAGCCGUUUCAGCAGGAUGUUUGGUACAAGUGUAUUAUUCAGCAGUGGUUACUGUAACUGUAUACACAUCACAGAAGCCAAAAUUUUGAAGGUAAAGAGAGUCUGCAAAGAUCCUGUGUAACUAUUCAUUUAAAUAUGAGGAUCCUUACUGAUAGACACAACACGGAUGAAUAUCAAAAAUGUUAUGUCAAAAGACUACAUAGUCUAUAACUCAAUUUUAAAAAGUUAAAAAAAAAGACUACAUAGUAUAUAAUCCAUUUAUAUGAAGUUCUAAAACUGGCAAAACUAAUCUAUAAUGAAAAAAAUCAAAAUAGUCUUUACCCUGAGGUGUAGGGAUGAGAUUACCUAGGAAAGGACAUGAAGAAACUUUCAGGGUUGAUGGGUAUAUGUAUUUGUCAAAAGUCUCCAUGUGGAGAAGUGUACUGAUAGCUGCAAUCUGUUUUGAAAUGUAUUUUAAAAAUAAGAUAGAUUGGUGGAUGGAUAGAAGGAUGAAGAGGUAGACACGUAACAAAAUAAAUACAGCAAAAUGUUAA